rnacentral:lncRNA from 1 species
GGGCCGCUCUCUGCCAGGCUUAGCUCGGGUCAAGGGCGCAGGGCCGGGAGAGGAUGUUGGCCGCGGCCCCCGACGCCAAGUGGGCACGGAUUGCCACUGGCGACAGGUAGAUUUCUCUCUCUGGGAAAUCUGCCAAACGCUUUUCUAAAGCUCCCAGCGUGUCCUCUGCCUGCAGCCCCUACCCUACGCCCCCCAGCUCAGGCGCCUCGCUCCAGGCAGGUCGCCUCUGGGCCUUUGCACAGAACGUCCGGUUGUCGCUGGCGUCGCCCACUGUGAACUGGCCCUAGAUUCUCCCAGACCCAGAAUAGUGCUCCUGCUUUACGCACCGCACGCAGCCUCUGCAGUGCAACCCGAGCUGCCUGGGACCUAGGACCGACCCCUCCCUGCGAGGACCCCGGCUCGGCUGGCCUGCACAGGAGCCUGGCUCCGCGCUGGUUACACCAGUCACCGCCAGGCGGCGCGCGCCCCAGCUGACCUCGUUAGCGAUGUCUCUCCUUGUGAUCCCCACUCUGAGCCCCAGCCCAGCGCUGGGCAGUUUGUGCCGACAGCUGGGGGAAGACUUCCAUGUGCUAAUGAACUCCGUAGGUCGUCGGCAGCCAGAGAAACCCACCGCAAAUAACAGCGCAAGCCCGAUUCGCCAGCUGAUGAUGAGGCCCUGGAUGAAAGCUAGGAAUUCGAGCCCCUGCUGCUGGAGGGAGGCUGGCGUCUUCAAGAGCACCUACUGAAAAAUUGGUCGUGUCCAGUGACUGAGCAGUCCUCAUGCUGGCCCGAAGCCCAGCCAGGAUCCUCCUGAGUCCCCGGAGGGAGCAAAGACAGGGCAGCUGAAUGACCACAGACGAGCCCAGCCCCGCAACUCGAAAGCCUUCACAAUGCGUGCUCCUCGGGCCUCCACCAGACGACAUCGAGCCUCAGUUUGGACUCACAUGUGUGCGUGCGAACAGUUCUUCGUCCCAUCGGAGCAUGAGGCUCUCACGGCAGAGGAAGCCGACGUGGUGUGACCCCUGCUGCUGUCCGGCCACCAUACAGCACUGGUUCCCCAGGUUUCUUAACUAGAGCAGAGGAGGGGGCAGGCAUUCCUAUCACCUGGGUCCUGUGUCCCCGUGUCCCCGUGGAGAGGCACGGUGGGCUGUCACUCAGCUUGAUUACAUGGUGGCCGGGCCACUGGCUGACUCGCAAGAGGGGCCACGACUGGGAAACGUGUAACCUCCGCCCAGACAACUGGAAGUAAUUCUGGAGGAGGAGCGGCUUGGUCUGAACUGGGAAAGAAGGCGGACUAUCAGUCUUGCUGUUUGGAGGCUCAACCUGGAGCACAGGAGAAGGUCUGGGAAGCCCUGCUGGGCCCCCAGCAGCGGAGACGCGCUGGUCGUUAGUGCCUGAAAGCCUCCCUUUUUCCCAAGGCUGAUGAGGUGCCCCUGUACCAGGCUGCGCUUUGCAGCUCCAACCAGGCUCAAGUUAGCACGAGCUCCCAAGCGCUGGGCCUGAAUUCGACAUAGCCCAGAGCACCUUUCUUUCGAGGCCCUGGAAGAGCAAGAUUCCUGGGGAGAGAACGGCCUGUAUCACCCCCAGGACCAGAGCUGCCCAGAGUGCUGAAGGUCACAGCGCACCUUCCCGCCUGUCCGCAGCAUCCAAGCCGCCCUCAUGCAAGGCCACCACACAGGCUCCCUGGGUGGCGUGACCACCCGUGUCCAGGUCCAGGCUGUGGUGUGUUGUUCACACCAGGCAUGGGAGCUUCUGAGAAGGUGGAAGUGGGGUCCUUCAGCAGACCGGCCACAGGGGGUCACGUCCAGUUCAGGGUGACACGUCUGUCCUUGCCCCGGGACGUGUUGGCAGGCUUCCCU